GUUUCAUGAAGAAACAUCUUAAUUAAAAGUGUACUCCCUGGAGAAGGAAAUGGCAACCCACUCCAGUAUUCUUGCCUGGAAAAGUCCAUCAACAGAGGAGUCUGGCGGGCUGAAGUCCAUGGAUUACAUGACUGAGCAUGUGUGCAUGAGGGUGGAGGGAAAUGGAUUGGUAGCAAUAAAGUGGUAGAACUAAAAAAAUAAAAGUGUACUCCCAACAUGUAACCAUAAGUGGGGCCCAGCUGCUCCCUGCUCAGAAGUUAAUAAAGAGGCAAAAGCUUGCUUUAUUUUGGGUGCUGACAACUUGAGGGGAGGAUAGACUUCUGUCCAAAGGCCCACUCUUUCCUCUGACCAUCAGUGGGCUAGAGCUUGUAUAGGCUGAGGGUGGGGGCUAUGUGCAGAAACAGCACAACUCUGAUAGUCACCUUGAAAUUGGUCAUCAGUGAUAGCUAGUCUUCAAUUCCAUGGUCAGUUUGUUCCCAUUUCCUUGAGGCCAGUUCUAGGAAUUGUGGCAGCUAUGUCAUUGUUAUGGUCAGGUCGUCAUACAGUUUAACUUCUACCUGGUGGGGGUUUCAGUAUCUAUAAGACAGCUCACAGGAUAUAGCUCAGAAUAUUAUCUGUAGCCCUGAAGGAGGAACCAAAGGUCCUUGACUAUGCUUAAUGACUAAACUAUUAUUAUUUGGUUUCUCUUAACUGUUUUCCUUGUUUCUGCAUAUUCUCAUUUCUCUGAUUAACUUAUUUUUUGGCUAGUUUUUCCACAGACACAAGGCAGGCAGAGGACAUGGGGGACAAGGACCAUAGGGUCGUGCUCCAUUUCAGACAGAGAAGUAGACAAAAGUCCAAAAACAUCACUAAUUGCAGGGGAGUGAACAAGCAGAUGCUGGCAAGCAGCCCUCCUCAGCUCAGUCUCGAAAGAACUCUUGUCUCAGAAUUGCUGUGUCUCCCCGUGGGAUAAAACAUCAGCACAGCUGUGAUACAGUCUUAGGUCCCCUCUUACCUGCCCCGGAACCAUUCGCCUCUCACUUCAUACCCAUGAGUUUCAGAGUGGAAGCAAGGUUUCCAGACAAUGAAGACUGCUCAUACUAAGUAAAGUGGGCCAGCAGCUUCCCCAGAGGUUUGCUGGGUCCUGAGCCUUGGAAGAACUCCGUUGGGCGUCCUGCCUGGUGGAUUCACAGCCGUACAUCACAGAGGGAAUUAGGAGGAUCUUAAGAACUUGAAACAAAAUAGAACUGAUUCAAAUGAAUUCUUUUAAUGGCUGAGUAAUAUUUCAUGGUGUAUAUGUACCAUAGCUUCCUUAUCCAUUCGUCUGCUGAUGGGCAUCUAGGUUGCUUCCACGUCCUGGCUGUUAUAAACAGUGCUGCGAUGAACAUUGGGGUGCACGUGUCUCUUUCAGAUCUGGUUUCCUCAGUGUGUAUGCCCAGAAGUGGUAUUGCUGGGUCAUAUGGCAGUUCUAUUUCCAGUUUUUUAAGAAAUCUCCACACUGUUCUCCAUAGUGGCUGUACUAGUUUGCAAUUCCCACCAACAGUGUAAGAGGGUUCCCUUUUCUCCACACCCUCUCCAGCAUUUAUUGCUUGUAGACUUUUGGAUAGCAGCCAUCCUGACUGGCAUGUAAUGGUACCUCAUUGUGGUUUUGAUUUGCAUUUCUCUGAUGAUGAGUGAUGUUGAGCAUCUUUUCAUGUGUUUGUUAGCCAUCUGUAUGUCGUCUUUGGAGAAAUGUCUGUUUAGUUCUUUGGCCCAUUUUUUGAUUGGGUCAUUUAUUAUUCUGAAAUUGAGCUGCAGGUGUUGCUUGUAUAUUUUUGAGAUUAAUCCUUUGUUGCUUCGUUUGCUGUUAUUUUCUCCCAAUCUGAGGGCUGUCUUUUCGCCUUGCUUAUAGUUUCCUUUGUAGUGCAGAAGCUUUCAAGUUUCAUUAGGUCCCAUUUGUUUAUUUUUGCUUUUAUUUCCAAUAUUCUGGGAGGUGGGUCAUAGAGGACCCUGCUGUGAUUUAUGUUGGAGAGUGUUUUGCCUAUGUUCUCCUCUAAGAGUUUUAUAGUUUCUGGUCUUACAUUUAGAUCUUUAAUCCAUUUUGAGUUUAUAUAUAUAGCCUCAAGAUUUUCUACAUUUCUUUAUGUUUAAAACAGGAAGAGUUGAGAGGCCUUUGGAACUCAGUGUUUUCUUCUGAAAGCUUUGUGGUAAUUCCCACCACAAAGCAGGGAGGGAAGAGCAGGGCAAGGAUGGGGGAAGGAGGCUUCUCCCCAAAGGGCCUUCCAUCCCUAAAUCUUACCCCCACAGGGCAGCUGAGAAGCUGGUAGACUGGCUCCCUUUAGAUCUGUAAGUCAAAUACGCAAAUUCAGCUGAGUCUCUUGGGUGCAAAGCAUGAAGAGGGGAGUGGUGGAUUCCAAACUGGAGUACCCAGCCUGGGGCACUUGGCCAGUUCCAGGACACAGAGUGGUUUUCCUGUCUCCACUGGGCUGUGUGGUGCACAGGCUGGAUGCCUCCUCCAGGCAAGCCCAGCUUCCUCCUCCCAUGGGCUGGACUGGGCGAUCUGCCCACGCUCCUGUAAGGAAGCUCCAAAGUGGAGACUCCAGACUAACUGGAGUGCUUACCCGGGGCACCCAGCACUGUGCCUUGGUGACCCUUUUGCUCUCUGUGUCCUGGGGUGUAUUGGCUGGAGUGAGGAGAGACACAGAGGUAAGAAGCUACAGUUGUCCUUGUUAUCCUUCUAUACUGGGCAAGACAACUUCCCCCUCCCCUAGCUUCACUGCCUCCACCCACCCCACCCACGAAGAUGCCCACAUCCUAAUCCCUAAGAGCUGUCCAUGUCAAUUUACAUGGGAAGAGGAACUUUGGAAACAUGAUAAAGUUACGAAUCUUGCGACGGAGAGAGAGUCUGAGAAAGAGACAUGUAGAGGAGCUGAGAAACAGGGAGGAAGAGAGAAGGGGGGCCAUUGAGGGAGAGCGAGGGUGGAAGGGAAGUUGGUUUAUUGACCUGAAGAUGCUGUACUGCUGGCCUCGCAGAUGGUGAAAGGGACACAAGACAGGGAAUGCAGGUAGCUUCUAGAAGCUAGAAGGGCACAGAGUCUCCCCGAGAGCCUCCGGAAGGAGUACAGCUCUUCUGAUCUAACCUGAGUUUAGGACUUCCAGAACUGUAAGAAAACAUGGAUUGUUGCUUUAAGGCAGUGAUUUGUUAACAGCAAUAGGAAACCUCUUCACUGUGGUGGUUUGACAGUCAACUGAUGCAUCUACAUCAGAUGAUUGAAUCACCUUAGGUGAAUUGGUGACAUUUGACCCCAUCAUCGAACCCUGUGCUGCACCAAGUUGCUUCAGUUGUGUCCGACUCUUUGUGACCCCGUGGACUGUAGCCCGCCAGGCUCCUCUGUCCAUGGGAUUCUCCAAGCAAGAAUACUUGAGUGGGUUGCCACACCCUCCUCUAGGGCAUCUUCCCAAUACAGGGAUCAAACCUGAGUCUCUUAAUGUCUCCUACAUUGGCAGGUGGGUUCUUUACCACUAGCACCACCUGGGAAGCCUAUCAAACCCUACGAAGAGGCUAUUGCAUUGGUCAUUGGUGAAAUAAAAUAGCCACCUGGAGGCUCAACCAACAUUUGCUCUUCUAGAGCAUAUCAAAGAGGAUCUUCAAAUUAAAAAUAACUAUCUUUUUCUUAUUAUCCAAGUAAUGCUAGCAAAGACAUGAGAGAAUGCAGACAAGCACAAAGAAAAAAACAACACAAAUUGCUCAUAAUCUCACCAAGAGACAACCACUUCUUACACCACAGUUUUCUUUCCAGGCCUUUUGAAAUAAUUGUAUGCAGUUUUAAAUACUAGUCAUUUUAAAUACAUGCACUGCUGUAAAACGUUGACAUGUCGUGAAUAUCUUUCCGGGCCAAUGAUAUUCAUCUGCAGUGUUAGUUCUCCAAGUGUAAGCUGGAGUUCCAAGACUUGGAGUCCCAAGACAGGUAGUUCCUGAGCUCAAAACCAUCCUUACUUUAAUUCUAAUACCUUAUUUGCCUUUUCAUCCUCCUCUCACAUAUUUUUUUUUAGAGUACAUAAUAUGUGAAAUAAUGAAUAUUUCUGAAAUUUCUUAGUUUUAAUUUCAAAAGUUUUGAUAGCUGUAGCACACAUAAGCAAAGUAUCCUUGGAGCACUCAGUAAUUUUCGAGAGUGUAAAAGGGUCCUGAGAAUACAAAGUUUGUAAACCUUUGAUCUAUAAUACUAUUUUUCAUAGCUGGUUUAGCACUUUGCACUGGAGUAUCAUAAUCAUUUAACCAGUAAGUAAUGCCAAGAAUAAGAUCCUUAAAUUUGUGUACACUUAAUUAUUGCUUUCAGAUAAUUUUCAGGGAUGGUUUUUGAAAAGUAUACUUAUUUACUGUAUAAAAAUGGACUAAUAUCAAUAAUGUAAUCCACCCCAUUAGCUAGUCUGAUAGGGACAGAGUAGGUGGUUAAAUAGGUAAUCCUACUGUGCUUAGUUGCUCAGUCAUGUCUGACUCUUUGCAACCCCGUGGACUGUACCCCGCCAGGCUCCUCUGUCCAUGGGGAUUCUCCAGGAAAGAAUACUGGAGUGGGUUGCCAUGCCCUCUUCCAGGGGAUCUUCCCAACCCAAGGACUGAACUCAGAUCUCCCGCAUAGCAGGCACAUUCUUUACCAUCUGAGCACCAGGGAAGCCCAGUUAAUCCCACUCAAUUCAGUUGUUCAGUCGUGUCUGCCUCUUUGCGACCCCAUGGACUGCAGCACACCAGGCCUCCCUGUCUAUCACCAACUCCUGGUGCUUACGCAAACACAUGUCCAUUGAGUCGGUGAUGCCAUCCAACCAUCUCAUCCUCUGUCAUCC